CGGCCCGCGGCUAUUUCUGGGAAGACAGGUGGCUUCGGCCAGAAAUAGAGCAGGAAAUGCUACUGCAACACGCGGAAGGGGGGGAGCUGAAAGAAUCUGGAGGGGUCGGAAAGCUGGGUGGGAUGGAGAGUGGUCUGCAACGGUGCAGGGCUGGAUGGAGCAGGGUGUCGGGGUACAUAGGGGCAGGGCUCGGAAGGAGUGGCCGGGGGUGAAGACUGCCUGUGGUACGUGGACAGAAACGGGUCAUGGCACCCCGGCUUCGACUGCGAGUUCUUCACCUUCUGCUGCGGCACGUGCCACCAGCGGUACUGCUGCCGAGACCCUCUGCGCCUGCUCACCGAGCGCCAGCAGCGCCACUGUCUUGCCUUCAGCCCCAAGACCAUCGCGGGCAUCGCCUCAGCCGUGGUGCUCUUCAUCGCCAUCGUCACCACCAUCGUCUGCUGCUUCAUGUGCUCCUGCUGCUACUUGUACCAGCGCCGGCAGCACUCCCGCACCCCCCUACAAGGUGUGGGGCUGGGGGGGCAGGGAUGAGGGUGCAGGAGGAGGAGGGGGGUCCUGUAGGAAAAAGGGUUGGAGCAG
rnacentral:lncRNA from 1 species